rnacentral:rRNA from 1 species
UACGGAGGGGGCGAGCGUUAUUCGGAAUUAUUGGGCGUAAAGGGCGCGUAGGCGGCUGUACAAGUCAGAGGUGAAAUCCCUCGGCUCAACUGAGGAACUGCCUUUGAAACUGUACGGCUUGAGGCCGGGAGGGGGUAGCGGAAUUCCCAGUGUAGCGGUGAAAUGCGUAGAUACUGGGAGGAACACCAGUGGCGAAGGCGGCUACCUGGACCGGUUCUGACGCUGAGGCGCGAAAGCGUGGGUAGCAAACAGG